rfam:Biomphalaria glabrata isolate BB02 unplaced genomic scaffold LGTN_random_Scaffold191, whole genome shotgun sequence.
GCCUUGUUAGCUCAGCGGUAGAGCAAUCGGCUGUUAACCGAUUGGCCGUAGGUUCGAUCCCUACACAAGGCG